CAGUAGCCGCGGGAAUACGUAGGGUGCAAGCGUUAAUCGGAAUUACUGGGCGUAAAGCGUGCGCAGGCGGUUAUAUAAGUCAGAUGUGAAAUCCCCGGGCUCAACCUGGGAACUGCAUUUGAGACUGUAUGGCUAGAGUGUGUCAGAGGGGGGUAGAAUUCCACGUGUAGCAGUGAAAUGCGUAGAUAUGUGGAGGAAUAUCGAUGGCGAAGGCAGCCCCCUGGGGUAACACUGACGCUCAUGCACGAAAGCGUGGGGAGCAAACAGGAUUAGAUACCCCAGUAGUCCCUGUCUCUUAUAC
rnacentral:rRNA from 1 species